GUGAACCAUAGCAACUGAAAAUGCAACAAAUGUUGCAAUUUUGGUCCCAAAUCGAACCAAAACUACCAGACUGUCAGGUGUGAAAAUAAGGUUAGCAUACCACCACAUUACUACAAUGUGGCUUCAGGUCAAUAAAGUUAAUGUUUUGGAGCUUCCAAUACAAAUCUGUGAUCUCAGUUGCAUAGAAAGUAUGUGGGCAUAUAUGGGAAGGCAAGUCCAAUCUAGUUACACCAGUACUGUCAGGAGGAAUGGGCCAGAACUUUAGCAAACUAUUGUGGGAAGAUUGUGGAACGUUUGACCCAAGUCAGAUAGCUUAAAAGAUGACUUUACCAAAUACUGAGAAAUGUCUGAUGUAAAUGUCUGAAUUAAAAAAAAAAAUUGUCUGACUUAAUCUCAGAUAGUAAUAAAAUGGCAACGCAUGUUGUCAUACAGUGUAUAGAAACAUCUGGGUUUAACUUUAUAUGCAGGCGAUUAGUCUGGGAAUCUCUUAUUUCCACGCUGUUAUUCCAGGACAGCGAGUAAAAGUUUCCACACGAUCAACAAGAGUCCAGAUUACUGAACACCAACAGGCAUCGCUUAAAUCCGCUGCUCGGGGGGUUUAGGGUGGGCUAUGUAACAACAGAUUUAAUUAGCCAACUCAUUAAGCGCCUGUUCCGACGUCUUUGUGUCGUUGUUGAGCCUGAAUCAAAGUAAUGCACAAAUUUCCCCUCUGGAUGAACUGUUGUAGACAAUUUAUCUGCUGAUUUAUUGGUUACUGAGGCAAGUGACCCAUUUAGAGAUAAGUCAGGAGAAUCGGAUCCAAUUGGGGAGAAAAUACCAGAAUUAUACUUCAGAACAAGUCGGUUAUCAAAAUGAUAUGGGGUGAACUUUAAGCCUGGUUUUAUUAGGAGUCUACUAAAUUAUUUUCAUAUAAAUAUAAAGUGGUGAGGUUUAGUUUUUGCUUCUAAAUUGAGCCAAAUAAUGAGAGCGCAAACAUGGCCACUUUUCAGCAGGACCAAAAAUAGAUUCUCUCCAGACUAAAACCAGAGAGAAAUGAAAGCGAGCCUGUUUUAUUUUGGCUAUCGUCCCUCAUCAGGCCCCUUCGCUUUCUCGCUCUGAUGUUUUCAGUGAAGAGGAUGGAGCAGGGAGACGAUUCUGCUUCGUGUGCCUUGGAGCUGUGGGACGUUUCAGUUCAGGGAGGGCUGAUGGAUCUGCAGAGGCACUCAGUGUUUCCUCUGCAGAGCAGCAUUAGUCAUUCUGCAUGCCAGUAAAAUGGCGCUGCUGCUGCUGCUGCUGCUGCUGUUGUUUCAGGACGGGGGAACAGAACCGGGGGAGCAGCGGGUUUUUCUCCGGGACAGAAACAAUCAACUGAUGCAACAGCUCCAAAUGAGACGUUAUGUUCUGAAGACUCAGUUUUUAGACCCAAUCUUACAAGGCAGAACCAGGAGAUUUGCUAAAACGCCACCUGGUGUUUAGACAAGCAAAUGCUUCAGUAAAUGUCAUGAAACAUGCAUGAACUUAUGCACAUUUUUCAAUGUAUUUUAAUGGGAUUUUACAUGUUUUCUUAUUGUUUUCACAAUUAAAAAUCUGCACUUUUUAGAAAAAUGUUCCACUAAACUUGCAGGUGUCUGAACAUCUACAGACUGGAAUUUUAUACGUUUUGUAAAAUAACUCACGCUUAGAUCGUCUGGUGAAUAUUGAUUUUGAAGUUUUCCCACAGAUUUUAAGCUGGAAUCAAAUUUGGACUUUGACUAGGCCAUUCUAACUCUUCAAUCUUUGCUCUGGCAAAGAUAACUUGUGAGGAAUUAACCAUGUUUUCACAUGGGGAUGCUGUGUGGUGCACAGUGUUUGGUGUGUUGGCCACAAGGCUUAGUUUCUGUCUCGUCUGACCACAGCACCUUGAACUUCUUGGUUGCUUCUCUGAUUAACGCUCUCCUUUAGAUGGAUGUCCAUGUCUUGGUAGGUCUGCAGUCAGUCCAGAGCUUUGGGAAAUGUCCAAAGCUUGGGAUAUUGGAUUUCUCUGUAAUUCUUCUAUUUAAGAACUAUUUAAGAAGUUGUCAGUCUUGUCCAUCUCAAAGGUUUUCCCUCUUUGAUGCCUUUAUUGGCUAGCAUAAAGUUCAUUGCCUCUUUGAAAGAUUCAGACUUCGUCCUGUAUCACUGCUUGAAGAAAAUGUCUUCUACAAACUGGGAGAAGGCUCUGGAGUUGAUUUGGAGCCCAUCUUCAAUCAGAAGAGGUCCAAUCAGUUGAUCUUUCAUAAUACCAGCUCAUACUUCUUGGCCCAGCUUAGAUGCCUCAGCUGAUGUGUCUGGUUCAGUGGUGGUCGGGUUUCAGUCUUCCUUACCUUGGCCAUGUAGACCAGCGCUGAACUUCUUGUACUUCAACUAGGUUGCAGUUCUGGAAGAUGACAGAACCGGAAGAUAAUGGCUUCCUGGUAGCUUCUCGCUUGAUUGUUCUCAAAUCCUUUACAGUUUAUCUGUGUUUUUUAAUCUUAACCCAUUCCUGGCGACACUGUUGACUAUUUGCAACAAAACGUCAGAUGGUUCUGUGAUCACGCUGCAAUAUCUUUGCAAUUUCAAUAGCAUCCUUCUGAGAAACUUUUGGUAAUUCUUGACUUAUCAUUGUUAGUUAAAUAUCUUUUUUUUACCAAUUUUGACGAAACAAAAGAACACUACCUGCUACGAUUCAUCCAGCUUGGAGUUAGAAAACAUGCCUAAAAAUGGUAAUAUGAUAAAAAAAAAAAACUCCCUUGGCUCAUAAUAGUACACAUUCCUUCCUGUCUUUAUUAUACAUGUUGAUCUAUAUCACAUUAAAUCCCAACAAAAUACACUGAAAGUUAUGGUUAUAACAUGAAUCUAUUUGCACUGGGUAUUGCUGUAAGUGUGAAAGUAACUGAAAACUUAAAAUGUUGCAAAAAUGUUGUGAAAUGGCAAAACUCGGCUAUUUUUCUCUUAAUUAUAGCACAAGAAUCUCUUGUUUAGUAGAAAAAACCAUCAGCAGGGGAAACUAUCAAAUUAUCACUUUUCCAUACUUGUUUUUAGACCAUUCAUUUAAAAAUAGGAUCACUUAAGAAGGUAAUUUACAUAAAGAUAUAUAAGAAUGACAUCCCAGAUUGACUUUUACAUAAACAAUUGGAAAAAAAAACUUAAUUUGUUUUGUAUUUCCUGUUCUAAUCCAGCAUAAAGCUUCAUGGCUUCACUGACUUUUCCGAGUUGCAUGAUCGUCUGGUGAUGCGGUGUUAUCAGACGAACACUUGAUUCGGCAUGAUUGGGGUUGUAUUGUGGCUGUACAUCAAAUCGGGUCGGAUCAUUUUCUUCUCAAAAUGCAACCAGAUGAUACGGAGUGCCUGGGUGGCCAUAAAGCCUCAGAGACAUCUGUACACCUAUUGGCCUGUUAAUGGAUCCAAUACCUCCGAUUACUGCCCUCUGGUGGCCGUUUAAGACAUUUCAACACUUCAGAAAGUCACCAAAAUGAAAUUUAUUUUUCGAAAAGAAUUCAAAACCAAACUCACUUUUGACACAGGCAUUUUUUGGGGGAUUGAUUAUGGUUUAUAGAUUAUGGAAAACCAUAAUUAAGUUAUUCAGAAAAUUUGAUUAUUGCAAAAAAUGAUCAAAAAAGUUACUUUUAUGACAGAAAUGAAAUGCUAUGGCUUCAGUUGUUCACCCGACAGUCAUGAAAAGUCUCCACAGGGUGGGUCAGUGAUGCUGCUAUAUCCAGGAAUAUUAACUUAAGGUUUAGCGGAAGGAAAAAAUGUGGUGCACAAAAGCUCAACUCCGACCAAAGGUUGAGGGAAUAUGAGGGGUGAAAUUUCUAGAUUAAAAAUCAUUUUCUUCCCUACAGUUCUGAUGCAAAAUUCAAAUAUUUUAAUAAAAAAAAAACCCUUUAAAUAUAUUUGAAAAGGUUAUCCAAGCCUAACGCUGCUGCAGCUGUGUGUCAUCAUCAAGUUUCUUAACCGGCGCUUUGAAAUCCCUUUAAUUAGUCUGGAAAAAAUACAUAAAAGUUACGAAGGUGCUAAGCGGUAAACAUGCCGAAGGAUUGAGAGAAAAAUGUUAAUAUUUUACUUGUUUUUUAAGGUUGAAUCAUAUCAAUAUUAGUUUAUUUAAGAUGGAUUAAAAGCAUAGAUAAGAGUAUUCGGUGUUUUUUAAUUGGUUUGUGUUUAUAUUUGGAGGCCAAAGUUGGAGUUUUCCGCAGCAGACGCCACUAAAGGGACCAAAUGGUGUUUUGUAGGAGUUUCAUAUACACAUUUUUAAUGUUUUUACCAUCUGAUCAGCAGUAAACAGGACAGAACUGUUUCAUUUCCAAAAUAAAAUCCAGUUUUUAUCUCUCGAGUAAACACGAUUUAAUUACAAGCUUCCAACUGCCAGAACCGGAUUGAUUUCCAGUAGAUAAGCCGUAAAAUUAGUUUCUGAUGGAAACUUCCUGCAACUGCCGAUGUUUUCCAACCUGGAUUUAUCGAUAAGCGUAAUUUGAUUUGUUGCUGCCUUGAGGCAUCAGAACGGCCUGAAAAGUUGCUUGGUUUCAGCAAUGAACUAAAAUCAGCUCCGAAGUGUCUCAUCGUUACAUAUUCCAUGCAAUGUUAAAUAAAUCAGUCAUUCAAUGAAAGAAAAAAAUCAGGAUUUGCUGCAAAUUUAAGUUGCUUUAUGUCAUUAAACUGCUGAAACUUCUUAAGCAAAAAUACAGAAUAUUUUCUGCUAAUAUCUAUAUUUCGAGCUUUAAAAGUGAAAUUGAAAACAAAAUAAUUGAUGAAAAUGCAAUUAUAAAAUUUAUUUCAGAUCAAACAAGCAGAAAUUAAUCUCAGAUGUUUUUUUGCUUAAGGGUUUAGGCAGUUUGAGGGUUCAGGUUUUUUUACUGAAUCCUUCCAAAAUGACGCAUUUUUAUCAUUUCAGUUUAAAUGUUUAGCCUCAGAUGGAUUUUUUUUUUCAACUCUGUGAAAAAUCGUGUUUUACUAUUUUUUAUGUCUAUUUAUUUUGAAUGUAUUUGACAUUUAUUUAUUUAUUUUAUUCCAGUUUUUUUACAGUUUGACAACGCUGAGCUACUUAUAAAUAAGGUUUACGGUUCAGGUGAUGAUGGUGAGACGUUUGCAGAGUUUCAGGUGGAUGUAGAGAUUAUUUAAAUGUCCCAACAUGCAGGGAUGGCUGCAGCUGGUCAGACUUUCUGUUUCCUGUCAGAAGCCAAAGUGUCGUCUAGAACGAAAGUCUCAGUAUGAAUGGUUUUUCAUACCAACUACAACAACGGUGAAGAACUGUGUUCGUUUUCGUUUUCUAAAAACUUGUUGGAUGUUUCUGUUUGUUUUCUUUCUGAUUGGCUGCUGCUUCCGUCUGCAGAGCUUUUCAUUGGCUGCUGAGGCAGAGUCUGUAACCUAUGCAAGGUUAGUCAGCAGUUUCUGUCCAUUCUGGUCUCAUCAUAUAACAGCAUCUUCAAUAAACCCUGGAAAAUAAACAGUAAAUUCAACGUU